rnacentral:rRNA from 1 species
GACAGAGGUUGCAAGCGUUGUUCGGAUUUACUGGGCGUAAAGCGCGUGUAGGCGGCUCUGUAAGUCGGGUGUGAAAUCCCACGGCUCAACCGUGGAAGUGCACUCGAAACUACAGGGCUAGAGUCCUGGAGAGGAAGGUGGAAUGCUUGGUGUAGAGGUGAAAUUCGUAGAUAUCAAGCGGAACACCGAUGGCGAAGGCAGGUCUCUGGGCUGACACUGACGCUCAUGCACGAAAGCGUGGGGAGCAAACAGG